AGCGAACGCUGGCGGCAGGCCUAAUACAUGCAAGUCGAGCGCACCUUCGGGUGAGCGGCGGACGGGUGAGUAACGCGUGGGAAUGUGCCCUUUGGUACGGAACAACUGAGGGAAACUUCAGCUAAUACCGUAUGUGCCCUUCGGGGGAAAGGAUUUAUCGCCAUUGGAGCAGCCCGCGUUGGAUUAGGUAGUUGGUGGGGUAAAGGCUCACCAAGCCUACGAUCCAUAGCUGGUC
rnacentral:rRNA from 1 species